AGUAACACGUGGGUAACCUGCCCAUAAGACUGGGAUAACUCCGGGAAACCGGGGCUAAUACCAGAUAACAUUUUGAACUGCAUGGUUCGAAAUUGAAAGGCGGCUUCGGCUGUCACUUAUGGAUGGACCCGCGUCGCAUUAGCUAGUUGGUGAGGUAACGGCUCGCCAAGGCAACGAUGCGUAGCCGACCUGAGAGGGUGAUCGGCCACACUGGAACUGAGACACGGUCCAG
rnacentral:rRNA from 1 species